rnacentral:rRNA from 1 species
GUCUACGGCCAUACCACUAAGAAGGCAACGGUUCUCGUCAGAUCACCGAAGUUAAGCUCAGUAGAACGCGCCGCAAUGAGCGGCGCAAGUCUGAAAUCGUUUACA